rnacentral:pre_miRNA from 1 species
AGUGGAAUAGCUGGGUCAAAUGGUUCCAUUCUAAGUUUUAUAAGAAAUCUCUACAUUGCUUUCCAGAUUGGUUGCACCAGUUUGCAGUCCCACCAGCAAC